UAAUUUGCUGCCACGUGUGUUAGUGUUGGAUCGCUCCAGUGUCAGCUUUAUCAUCUUUCAACCCGCAAAGUUCUGAUAAAACAUAUAGUUUCAAAGUAGAGUGAAAAGAUGACUUCACAAUUGAAAGUGAUGCCUUUUGGAAUCUGAUUCCUCUCAUAUUUUCUUUUCUAGAUGAGAGGUAUCUUUAUUGUAUGUAACCUCCUGAAGAGUAAGGGGAAUGCAAAGAUUCAUCCAAUUCCUAUUGCUCUUUACGCCAGUUGUGUUCAAUGGAAGCAUGGAAAAAAUAAAACAACCAUUUAAAUCUAUGUAUUUCAGUUGCUGACAAGGAUACUUAACUUAAUAUUUGCUUUUGUUUACAUGAAAAUAUUUACAAUGGUACCUAACCUAUAUGAAAAAAUCACUUUGAAUUUUGGGUUGUAAUAUUCAAAAUCAAAAUGUACAAUUAUUUGUGCAUAUUCUUAUUACAGCCAGGAAAAGAGCUACCAGUAAGAAAAUGAAUAAAUGUCUAACAUUUCUAAAAGUGGAGUAUUUUUAAAGGACUACUUCAUUUAUCUUAGAAAAAAAAUUGUCAUGAAUAAUACUUUCUGUUCAAUUAAAAUCUGAGUUUAGUUUC
rnacentral:lncRNA from 1 species